UACGGAGGGUGCGAGCGUUGUCCGGAAUCAUUGGGCGUAAAGGGCGCGUAGGUGGCCUGCUAAGCGUGCGGUGAAAGUCGGGGGCUCAACCCCCGAUCGGCCGUGCGAACUGGGAGGCUUGAGCACUGUAGAGGCAGGCGGAAUUCCGGGUGUAGCGGUGGAAUGCGUAGAGAUCCGGAAGAACACCGGUGGCGAAGGCGGUCUGCUGGGCAGUAGCUGACACUGAGGCGCGACAGCGUGGGGAGCAAACAGG
rnacentral:rRNA from 1 species